rnacentral:lncRNA from 1 species
AAAUCCACGCCCUCCCCUCGUCCCCUCUCCACCAAAUCCAACCCGACCCCCUCUGAUCCACACCACCGAUCGAAGCCAGGCUCUCUCGUCCUCCUCACCAAGGUACGCGAGUUUCCGAUCGAUCCCCGCUCCGCUCGAUUUCUGUUCUUCUGUUAGUCGUCGUCGUCGUCGUUUGGAGUAGAUCUUCUGGCCGAGGAGGCCCUAUAUUGCUUGUAGAUCGAUCGCUGUCGCUUGUCGUAGUCCAAUUGAUUCUACAUACAUAGAUUAUCCCCCGCGAUUAUGCGUCGGUUAUCGAGUAG